UAAAAGUUUUAUCCUGGCUUGUUCUUUUGUUUUCAGAUUAAUAGGUACAUGUAAGGUGUUCCAUGCCGAGUUAGUUAUUUAAGUAUUUAACUAGAUGUAAUUAAAUCUUAAUAUUAAGAAAUAUCGAUAAUAUAUAAAUUCGCAGUACCUAGUGCUAAUGUUUAAUAAAUGAGAGUUAGAUUUGGUAAUUCUGAUAUCUAUGUCUGGUUAAAAUUUGUGCCAGCAGCCGCGGUUAUACUGAGAGAUGGAAUGAAAGAGAGUUGGUUAAAAAUUCUUAAACGAUACGUUACUGUGAUAAAGCAAGUUUGUACUAAUAAAGGGUGAAAUUGGUUUUUGGUGAGCAAGGAUGUUUUGUUUUUAAUGAGGUUGAGGUUAUUAAGAUUAAGGUAUGGACCAGGAUUAGAUACCCUGUUACACUUUAUUUUAAAAUAUUAUUACCUGGGUAGUAAGCAGUUAUUGUCUUGAAACUCAAAGGAUUUGGCGGUAAUUUAGUCUAGUUAGAGGAACCUGUCCUGUAAUCGAUAGUCCACGAAAUAUCUUACUUUAUCUUGUGAAUAACAGUUUGUAUACCGUCAUUAUUAGAUAACUUUAAUAAAAAUUCUAGUUAUUGGAAUAGUUUAAAACUAAUAUAUUAGAUCAAGGUGCAGCUUAUGGUAGAGAAGAGAUGGGUUACAAUGAGAUUUUUAUAAACGAAUUAGAAAAUAAAUUAUUUUUUAUGAAGGUGGAUUUAAAAGUAAGGUGAUUUUAAUAAGGUCACUUGAUUGUAGCUCUAGGUUAUGUACACAUCGCCCGUCGCUCUCGUUAUUUAAAGCGAGAUAAGUCGUAACAUAGUAGGUGUACUGGAAAGUGUACCUAGAAAUUC
rnacentral:ncRNA from 1 species